CCCGCUGAACUUAAGCAUAUCAAUAAGCGGAGGAAAAGAAACUAACAAGGAUUCCCCUAGUAACUGCGAGUGAAGCGGGAAAAGCUCAAAUUUAAAAUCUGGUGGCCUCUGGUCACCCGAGUUGUAAUUUAGAGAAGCGUCUUCCGCGCUGGACCAUGCACAAGUCUCCUGGAAUGGAGCGUCAUAGAGGGUGAGAAUCCCGUCUUUGGCAUGGAUGCACCAGGGCUUCUGUGAUACACUCUCAAAGAGUCGAGUUGUUUGGGAAUGCAGCUCAAAAUGGGUGGUAAAUUCCAUCUAAAGCUAAAUAUUGGCGAGAGACCGAUAGCGAACAAGUACCGUGAGGGAAAGAUGAAAAGCACUUUGGAAAGAGAGUUAAACAGUACGUGAAAUUGUUGAAAGGGAAACGCUUGGAGUCAGUCGCGUUUGUUAGAACUCAGCUUGGCUUCUGCUUAGUGUACUUUCUAAUGAACGGGCCAACAUCGAUUUCAGUCAGUGGAUAAGGGUAAGAGGAAUGUGGCACCUUCGGGUGUGUUAUAGCCUCUUAUCGUAUACAUUUACUGGGAUCGAGGUCUGCAGCACUUGUGCUUAGGAUGUUGGCAUAAUGGCUUUAAUCGACCCGUCUUGAAACACGG
rnacentral:rRNA from 1 species